rnacentral:rRNA from 1 species
AUUGAACGCUGGCGGCAUGCCUUACACAUGCAAGUCGAACGGCAGCACGGGAGCAAUCCUGGUGGCGAGUGGCGAACGGGUGAGUAAUAUAUCGGAACGUGCCCAGUCGUGGGGGAUAACGUAGCGAAAGCUACGCUAAUACCGCAUACGAUCUAUGGAUGAAAGCGGGGGAUCGCAAGACCUCGCGCGAUUGGAGCGGCCGAUAUCAGAUUAGGUAGUUGGUGGGGUAAAGGCUCACCAAGCCGACGAUCUGUAGCUGGUCUGAGAGGACGGCCAGCCAAACUGGGACUGGGACGCGGCCCAGACUCCUACGGGAGGCAGCAGUGGGGAAUUUUGGACAAUGGGCGCAAGCCUGAUCCAGCAAUGCCGCGUGCAGGAUGAAGGCCUUCGGGUUGUAAACUGCUUUUGUACGGAACGAAACGGCGAGCUCUAAUACAGUUUGCUAAUGACGGUACCGUAAGAAUAAGCACCGGCUAACUACGUGCCAGCCGCCGCGGUA